rnacentral:rRNA from 1 species
GAUGAACGCUGGCGGCGUGCCUAAUACAUGCAAGUCGAGCGAACAGACGAGGAGCUUGCUCCUCUGACGUUAGCGGCGGACGGGUGAGUAACACGUGGAUAACCUACCUAUAAGACUGGGAUAACUUCGGGAAACCGGAGCUAAUACCGGAUAAUAUAUUGAACCACAUGGUUCAAUAGUGAAAGACGGUUUUGCUGUCACUUAUAGAUGGAUCCGCGCCGCAUUAGCUAGUUGGUAAGGUAACGGCUUACCAAGGCAACGAUGCGUAGCCGACCUGAGAGGGUGAUCGGCCACACGGGAACUGAGACACGGUCCAGACUCCUACGGGAGGCAGCAGUAGGGAAUCUUCCGCAAUGGGCGAAAGCCUGACGGAGCAGCGCCGCGUGAGUGAUGAAGGUCUUCGGAUAGUAAAACUCUGUUAUUAGGGAAGAACAAAUGUGUAAGUAACUAUGCACGUCUUGACGGUACCUAAUCAGAAAGCCCCGGCUAACUACGUG